rnacentral:rRNA from 1 species
UCGGAGCGAACGUUUGCGGCGGGCUUAACACAUGCAAGUCGAACGAGAAUCCCUUCGGGGAGGAAAGUGGCGCACGGGUGCGUAACACGUGGAUAACCAACCAUUGGUUGGACAACACCGGGAAACUGGUGCUAAUACCAGAUGUGUCGCAGCUGUCUUCAGGCGGUUGCGAGAAAGGCCCGCAAGGGUCGCCAACGGACGGGUCCGCGUCCCAUCAGCUAGUUGGUGAGGUAAUGGCUCACCAAGGCAAAGACGGGUAGCUGGUCUGAGAGGAUGAUCAGCCACACUGGAACUGAGACACGGUCCAGACUCCUACGGGAGGCAGCAGUGGGGAAUAUUGCGCAAUGGGCGAAAGCCUGACGCAGCCACGCCGCGUGAGCGAUGAAGGUCUUCGGAUACGUAAAGCUCUGUGGGGGGAGAAGAAGAAAGCCGGUGAAGAGCCGGCCCUGACGGUAUCCCCUUAGCAAGCACCGGCUAACUCCGUG